rnacentral:misc_RNA from 1 species
UGUUAUUAAGACAAUCACAUUGAAAUAUCGUUUAUCAAAGGGUAUAAAAAAUUCGGUGCACAGGUGGGAUAGAUUCGAGAGUGCGAGACGCACAUCUCUUUUAUUCGAUAAUGAUCCUUCCGCAGGUUCACCUACGGAAA